rnacentral:rRNA from 1 species
UACGAAGGGUGCUAGCGUUGUUCGGAAUUACUGGGCGUAAAGGGUGCGUAGGUUGUUUAUCAAGUUAGUGGUGAAAGCCCAGAGCUUAACUCUGGAAUUGCCAUUAAAACUGAUAGGCUAGAGAAUGUUAGAGGUGAGUGGAAUUCCUAGUGUAGGAGUGAAAUCCGUAGAUAUUAGGAGGAACAUCAAUGGCGAAGGCAGCUCACUGGGUCAUAUCUGACACUGAGGCACGAAAGCGUGGGUAGCAAACAGG